AAGUCGUAACAAGGUUUCCGUAGGUGAACCUGUGGAAGGAUCAUUAUCAACGUUCCUAACGUAAAACCAUUGUGAACCGUUAUCACCUCGGAGGUUGUCGUGGAGUUCCUCUCAUCAAUAACAAAUGAAUGAAAAAGAGAACGUAAGUGAAUGUGAGUUCUCGUUAUUUGAUGGAACUACGGAAGCUUUUGUCAAACUUCGGAUUGACAAUUGCUUUGUAUUAACGUAGCAUGAGGACAGGGAUUCGGUCCCGACACGAGAAUCACUGGGUCAUUUCACUACUAUACAAACCCCUAUUAACCAUUGAAACCCAAACUAUAAACUUGUCUGAAAUUGAUUUCUUACUCUAUCUUUCGGGAGGAGAAGAAAUAAAAUUACGAAAAAUAAGAACAACUCUUAGCAACGGAUAUCUUGGUUCUC
rnacentral:misc_RNA from 1 species